rnacentral:rRNA from 1 species
GACGAACGCUGGCGGCGUGCCUAACACAUGCAAGUCGAGCGAAUGGAUUAAGAGCUUGCUCUUAUGAAGUUAGCGGCGGACGGGUGAGUAACACGUGGGUAACCUGCCCAUAAGACUGGGAUAACUCCGGGAAACCGGGGCUAAUACCGGAUAACAUUUUGAACCGCAUGGUUCGAAAUUGAAAGGCGGCUUCGGCUGUCACUUAUGAAUGGACCCGCGUCGCAUUAGCUAGUUGGUGAGGUAACGGCUCACCAAGGCAACGAUGCGUAGCCGACCUGAGAGGGUGAUCGGCCACACUGGGACUGAGACACGGCCCAGACUCCUACGGGAGGCAGCAGUAGGGAAUCUUCCGCAAUGGACGAAAGUCUGACGGAGCAACGCCGCGUGAGUGAUGAAGGCUUUCGGGUCGUAAACUCUGUUGUUAGGGAAGAACAAGUGCUAGUUGAAUAAGCUGGCACCUUGACGGUACCUAACCAGAAAGCCACGGCUAACUACGUGCCAGCCGCCGCAGUAA